GGGUUCUGGUCACCGCUCGGUGGGAGUAGGAGCGCGAUAGGCGAGUGGAUUUGGGUGAGAAGGGGAAAGGCGGUGAGGUGUUUAUAAAGGUGGAGAAAAAUAGCUUUAACUUGUAAUUUUAAAAGUAAGCAAUCAGUGCUUCCGUGAAAUUUCUGAAGCACGUGCUUUAAUUUGAUUUACCUAAUGUUUUUGUAGUUUAUGAUAAUUUGUAUAGGGAGAGUGGAGAUCAUAUCUGCGAUGCUAGAGUGAUGCCAAUCGCUAAUGAAUUGGUGGCCAAGAGUGGUAAUGGAUCUCGAAACCAUGAAUCAAACUCUUUUAAUCAGAACAAAGUUGUUGGCUUCGAAACUUGUUGGCUACGCCGGGUUCGAGCAAAAUUUUCUUUGAAGAAGAUUUGGAUGCUCUUAAGAAGUUAGACAUAGAUUUGGGCAAGCUUUCAAUUGAACCGACAAUCACAGAUUUGUAAGAGCUUUCAUGGAAGAACACAGGAUCUCGGCUCAUGGUGCUUCAUCGGCACGGUUGCAGACAUGUUGUACCUCGUUCUGUGAUUUACACUUUGGCCGUGAUUUACAUUUUGUACCUCGUUCUGUGAUUGUUCUCUUCUAUUUACAGUUUUCAUGUUAGUAUGAGUAUGUAAACUUUAACUCUACAUUUCUGUUGUUGAUGUACUGAUGUCUUCUCUGUGAUUCCUGUUGACUGUAUUUUUGAUACCUCAGUUGUAUGUUGCGUCAAGUUAGAAGUGCUGUAAAUCACAU